GACGAACGCUGGCGGCGUGCUUAACACAUGCAAGUCGAGCGGUAAGGCUCCUUCGGGAGUACACGAGCGGCGAACGGGUGAGUAACACGUGAGCAAUCUGCCCUUCACAUCGGGAUAACUCCGGGAAACCGGUGCUAAUACCGAAUACGACCACUUCAGGCAUCUGAUGGUGGUGGAAAGUUCCGGCGGUGAAGGAUGAGCUCGCGGCCUAUCAGCUUGUUGGUGGGGAACGGCCCACCAAGGCAACGACGGGUAGCCGGCCUGAGAGGGUGACCGGCCACACUGGGACUGAGACACGGCCCAGACUCCUACGGGAGGCAGCAGUGGGGAAUAUUGGACAAUGGGCGAAAGCCUGAUCCAGCAACGCCGCGUGAGGGAUGACGGCCUGGUGUAAC
rnacentral:rRNA from 1 species